AGACGUAGGGCGCAAGCGUUGUCCGGAUUUAUUGGGCGUAAAGAGCUCGUAGGCGGCCUGUCGCGUCGAUCGUGAAAGUCCACGGCUCAACUGUGGGAUUGCGGUCGAUACGGGCAGGCUAGAGUGCGGCAGGGGAGACUGGAAUUCCUGGUGUAGCGGUGAAAUGCGCAGAUAUCAGGAGGAACACCGGUGGCGAAGGCGGGUCUCUGGGCCGUUACUGACGCUGAGGAGCGAAAGCGUGGGGAGCGAACAGGAUUAGAUACCCUGGUAGUCCACGCUGUAAACGUUGGGCGCUAGGUGUGGGGACCCUUCCCGGGUUUCUGUGCCGUAGCUAACGCAUUAAGCGCCCCGCCUGGGGAGUACGGCCGCAAGGCUAAA
rnacentral:rRNA from 1 species